ACGGGGCCCGCACAAGCGGUGGAGUAUGUGGUUUAAUUCGACGCAACGCGCAGAACCUUACCUAGACUUGACAUCCCGGGGAUUUUCUGGAAACAGAGAAGUGCUUUAGCAAUAAAGAACCCGGUGACAGGUGCUGCAUGGUUGUCGUCAGCUCGUGCCGUGAGGUGUCGGCUUAAGUGCCAUAACGAGCGCAACCCCUAUCUUUAAUUGCCAUCAUUCAGUUGGGCACUUUAGAGAGACUGCCGGUGUUAAGCCGGAGGAAGGUGGGAUGACGUCAAGUCCUCAUGGCCUUUAUGUCUAGGGCUACACACGUACUACAAUGGCAGGUACAAAGGGCAGCGACACAGCGAUGUGAUGCGAAUCCCGAAAAGCCUGUCUCAGUCCGGAUCGGAGUCUGCAACUCGACUCCGUGAAGUUGGAAUCGCUAGUAAUCGUGGAUCAGCAUGCCACGGUGAAUACGUUCCCGGGCCUU
rnacentral:rRNA from 1 species